CUUUGAUAUUAACAUAGUCACCCUUGCUUUGGCUUUGGCUUGUUAAGAGUUUCCAUGGAAUAGCUUCUCUCACACUUCUUCUUUUACCCUACCUGUAUCCUGGUAUGUGAGGUGAGUUUCUCAUAGACAGCAUGUAUGUGGGUCAUUUUUUAAAAAAUCCAUUCUGCGCAUCUCUGUCUUGAAUUGAUGUGUUUACUUCAUUUACAUUUAAUGCCAUUAUUGAUAUGUAUGAAUCUAGGCCUCCCGUUUUAUUAUUUGUUUUCUAUUUUUCCCUCUAUUUUUCGUUUCUCUGAUACCUCUUUCCUACCUUUGUUUAGGUUACUUAAUGUUUUUUUAAGUAUUCCAUUUUAAGCUAUUGAAUAUGUUUUUGGCAUGAUCUCGUCAUACAAGUUUUCCAGUGUUGGGAGAGACAAUUCUCCUUGAGUUUCUUGUUCUCCUACAGCUCCUGCUAUGGAGCCAAGACAGCAAGGUUCUGACCAUUGUUUCGCCUGGGCCAUUUCUCAGCAAUGGGUGGAGGCCCAAAGCACAGAGGACGCAGGCUGGAAGGCGGUGGCCUGUGCAGAGGAAGAAAGAAGUCGCUGGGCAACGCACCAGCAUCGGGGAGGAAGAAGUGGCGUGCUCAGAGCUGGAAGGAUGCUAAGAACCGACGUGCUCUGAGUCUGCGCUUCCCCGCAGGUGCGCGUCAGAGGAGAUUCUCCAUCCGGGAUCGCUGCAUGUACAGAAGUGCUAGAGACUUGAUGCUGUCAUGGUGAUUUCAAAAGGACAGGACAAACGAGAGUUAACAGCUACAUACUGGCCCUACUAAUGCACCCUACCCAGCCCCGGACAGGUGAGGGACGCCGACGCAGCGGUGUGGGAGCCUGCACUGCGCAUUGUCCUGGAGACCUGGACCCUGGAGAAGAGUCCUGUUCCAGAGCCCGCUCUGGCUGCAGGUGCCGAGUUCUGUGGUCACUGGGCUCAGCAGAGGAUCCGCCAGCACUGCCUGGUUUCCACAGAGAAAAGGU